rnacentral:rRNA from 1 species
AACGCGAAGAACCUUACCUAGACUUGACAUCCUCGGACCGGUCCAGAGAUGGAUCUUUCCCUUCGGGGACCGGGAGACAGGUGCUGCAUGGCUGUCGUCAGCUCGUAUCGUGAGAUGUCGGGUUAAGUCCCUUAACGAGCGCAACCCUUAUCAUUAGUUGCCAUCAUUCAGUUGGGCACUCUACUGAGACUGCCGGUGUUAAACCGGAGGAAGGUGGGGAUGACGUCAAGUCCUCAUGGCCUUUAUGUCUAGGGCUACACACGUGCUACAAUGGCCGGUACAGAGGGCUGCUAACCCGCGAGGGGGAGCUAAUCCCAGAAAGCCGGUCUCAGUUCGGAUUGAAGUCUGCAACUCGACUUCAUGAAGCUGGAAUCGCUAGUAAUCGCGGAUCAGAACGCCGCGGUGAAUACGUUCCCGGGCCUUGUACACACCGCGCAUA